GUAUGUGGAAUCCACAGCAGUCGAAGAUGUUGGGUCCCUCCUAAGUUUCUUUCUUGUUUAUCAAAGCCUUUGCAAGGUUCAUUCUUUGGGGGAGGAGUCAAAGUGUUAUUUUCCUCGCCUGAAUCAGGAAACCACUUAAGGGAUGAUCCACUUAAAAACACUGCAUCCAGGAGAACUGUGACAAUUGUCUUGAGAACUUCAGCGUCUAUGCAGGAGGUGAAGCUAAACUGGUGAAGGAUCCGUGAGAACUCGGUGAUCAAACUAGCGUACGGGAGCGGAGACUAACAUCCUGCCACUGCCUGCAGAGCCCCUGCACCCUCGGGCUCAAGUGAGGCCGUGUCUGGUGUCCUGUGCAGUUGGAAUUAGUCUCUCUCCAUUGCGCCUUCUGGACUGAGUGCAGCAAAGGAGGCUGCAGAGAGGGAAAAACAGAUGUGCAGAGUGAGUUCCCCAAACCACACAACUGGGUUAUGAUGGGAGCAGACCACUGCAGAGGUCUGGACUUGGCUGAGCUCAGCAAGCUCUCCCUGACCACUGGACAAGUCUGAGGCAGCUGGAGCCCUGCACUGGUUUCCCCCUAGAGACCCCAGAGCUCCAUUCAACCCCCCAUCUCCGGAACACGUUCUGGUGAGGCACUGGAAGCCGCGACAGAAGGAAGAGCUCCAUGCCCUUUGGGGCCCACGUGUGUCCCGCUGGACCCAUCUCCUGCCCAGUGGAGGGCAGCAGAAGUUUGAGAAGCACGUGGUCGCACAGCCCUGUGCAGCCCUGUGCAGCCCACGAGCCUGGAGCUGCAGCCCAGGAGCAGUCAGCAUUAGAAAUUACCCAGGGUCUCCCAGCAGAAAGGGCUUCUGGGACAUGUGAAAAACUCAAGCAUUGGACGACCCAUUGGGGAUGGUUUCUGCUUGGUAGCUGGCUGGCUGUAUGAGGGGCCCUUGAUUGAGCUCACUCCUGGGAGCUGAUUCAGUGGGAGGUGGGAGCAGCCUCCACAGGCACAGCGCUAACCUGGGAUCACGCCUUCACUGGUGACAGGAGACACAGACCCCCUCCUCUGGAGUGCCCCGUGGGCUGCUGCUGCACGUGUGGCACAGUCCUGCCCAGUGGAGGGUUCAGUGCCAGCCCCGUGGCUCGGGAGGAGGGUGGCUAUACGGCCGUUGAUCGUUCCUCCCCACCUCAAGCCACCAAGUCUACCUGGUUUCUGCCUUCUGCUGCCCAACUCUUCCAGGCCAGCCCUCUUCACCAUGAGAGCUCGUGUGCCCCCGGUGCAUGUCUGCAGGAGUGCCUGGUCGCAUGGGAACCCCACCUGGCUGCUGCAGGAACAGCUUGGCAGAGGAGGAAGUGGCCUGUGCCCCGCCACACCUGUGGAAGCGCUUUUCCAAGUCAUCCUGUGGGUGACUGAGUGCCUUCUGCCUGGCAUGUUGAUGCUUUCUGGGAGACAGCCAUGGGAAGCCUGCAACUGAGAGUUCUGAUGUGUUCCUGAGCACCCAGAGUAUUUCAGGGAAGAUGAAGCGGAACUGAAUGUGUUCCCCGGGGAUAAACUAGCAGCAUAAAGACGGCCAGCAGCUGAUUUGAUAGCAAAUGCCUUACACUGGGGUUGGAAAGUAGAUGGACAGUUUCUCAUAGACACCUGGACUGUUCUGAGCCGACUCUUGCUUUUUCUUAGAUCCCUUUUUCAUUCUAACAGCGGCCCUGUGUACCUGUCCUUGGGGGGAACUUUUCUGAACUAUGUUGAAAACUGCUUCAGGGCCAGCGCAGUGUAUUGGUCCCCUCCCCCUGAACCGGGGGUGAGAGGUGGAUGGAGAGAGGGAAAUGAAGCAAGACAUUGCACUGUGGAUAGGAGUCUGGGUUUCUGGUGGCCCCUGCGUUGCUGCAGGGCUACCCACCAGGCUCCUCUCAGCUGGAGCAGCUUUGUUGAACUGGCUCUCCCUGGGUAAUCAUCUGUCUUAUGCUUCUAGCACUGUGUGGCUCCCCAGUGCCCCUGAGAAAGGGAUGGCCCAGGCUCCACCCAGCCCACUUUGGCUCCCUGAACAGAGGUGGCUGAUCUGUAACUUGGGAUGUCCCCACCUGCAGAGGCACCUGGCCUCCUGCAGCUCUGAACCGGCCUCUUCCCAUGCCUUGCUGGAGCUCAGGCCUCGUCUGCCUGGUUGCUUCUCUCUACAUUGCCUGGAGUUUUUGCCCUUUCUUUCGUAGCUCAUUGAAAACAGGUUCAUCUGCCAGGAAUGGGCACAGAGCAGGAGACCAGGAAAUGCCCUGAUUGAUGCAGACGGCGCCUUCUUGGGGGCCACUUUCCCUCCCAACAUCCCUAGGGUGGAGCCAGAGGAGCUCACUGCAAUGGGAGAGUCUAUUCUUGAGCUGCUGCCUCUUUUUCCCUCCUAUUUACAAGGGUGGUUGUCCUUAAGCAUUGGCAAAGGGUUACCAAACUCCACGGUGCCUAAGCCCCUUAACAAUAGAAUGACACAUCUGCCUAUAACUGACAAGCACUGCCAUAGACUGCAAAUCAUCUCUAGAUGACCUGUAACGCCUAAUACAAUGUAAAUGCUAGGUUAAUGGUGGUUGUACUGUAUUGCUUAGGGAAUAGUGACCAAAAAAGUCUGUACAUGUUCAGUACAAUUUGUUUUUCCAAACGUUUUUGACCCAGGUAGUUUGGAUCCACAGAUGCAGAACCUGUGAUACAGAGAGUCAACUGUACUUAGCAGAAACCCUCCCGAUACAAAUAAGCAAACAGGGCCGGCACCGCGGCUCACUAGGCUAAUCCUCCGC